GACGAACGCUGGCGGCGUGCCUAAUACAUGCAAGUCGAGCGAAGUUUUUCUGGUGCUUGCACUAGAAAAACUUAGCGGCGAACGGGUGAGUAACACGUAAAGAACCUGCCUUAUAGACUGGGACAACUAUUGGAAACGAUAGCUAAUACCGGAUAACAGCAUUAACUGCAUGGUUGAUGUUUAAAAGUUGGUUUUGCUAACACUAUGAGAUGGCUUUGCGGUGCAUUAGCUAGUUGGUGGGGUAAAGGCCUACCAAGGCGACGAUGCAUAGCCGACCUGAGAGGGUGAUCGGCCACACUGGGACUGAGACACGGCCCAGACUCCUACGGGAGGCAGCAGUAGGGAAUCUUCCGCAAUGGGCGAAAGCCUGACGGAGCAACGCCGCGUGAGUGAAGAAGGAUUUCGGUUCGUAAAGCUCUGUUGUUAGGGAAGAAUGAUUGUGUAGUAACUAUACACAGUAGAGACGGUACCUAACCAGAAAGCCACGGCUAACUACGUGCCAGCAGCCGCGGUAAUACGUAGGUGGCAAGCGUUGUCCGGAAUUAUUGGGCGUAAAGCGCGCGCAGGUGGUUUAAUAAGUCUGAUGUGAAAGCCCACGGCUCAACCGUGGAGGGUCAUUGGAAACUGUUAAACUUGAGUGCAGGAGAGAAAAGUGGAAUUCCUAGUGUAGCGGUGAAAUGCGUAGAGAUUAGGAGGAACACCAGUGGCGAAGGCGGCUUUUUGGCCUGUAACUGACACUGAGGCGCGAAAGCGUGGGGAGCAAACAGG
rnacentral:rRNA from 1 species